rnacentral:misc_RNA from 1 species
AUGAUAACCAUACGGCUUUGAGUUGAUCAACAUUGCGCUACAUGUAUUCAUUUCUAUUUUCAGGUAUGAUCUGCGAAGAUGUUGAUAUCCGUAAUGAUGUGAAUGCAUUUGCUGAACUAGAAAAUUGUACAGUAAUAGAGGGAAACCUGAAAAUUCUCCUAAUUGAAGGGGCAUCUCAUCAACAGUAUGAAAAUCUCUACUUUCCGGAUUUGGUUGAAAUCACCGAUUUCUUCCUUCUUUAUCGAGUGUAUGGAUUAAAAAGUCUCAGGCACAUUUUCCCCAACUUAUCUAUCAUCCGUGGUCACAAACUGUUCUUCAACUUCGCCUUGGUGGUGUUCGAAUUGAUGGACUUAGAAGAGUUGGGUUUGAUUGGUCUGACAACCAUUCGAACGUGGUGCCGUCCGGUUUGAAAAGAAUCCGCAGUUAUGUUACAUUGACACCAUCGAUUGGACCAAAAUUGCAGUAGGGGUGCAAGGAAUGAGCGAGCACUAUUUCAAGCAGAACAGGAUUGCCAAAGAGUGCGUGGAUGUGUGUCCAAGUGACUGUGCCAGUACUCCGGUCAUCGCACCAACAGGGGAGGUCAGCAAGGAAGUCAAAAAACGAUGCUGGACUAAAUCCUACUGCCAAAAAAUUCUCACAUGUGAAGGCCUGAACCGUCCCUGUCAGAGUGGGGUAUGUGACAAUGGUAAAUGCUGCCACCCCAACUGUAUCGGAGGCUGUACUGGGGAGACGGACCGCGACUGUAAAGUCUGCAAAAACGUCGUCAGCAUGAUCAACAACCAGGCCAUCUGCCAGAAGCAGUGUUUACCAGGAACCUAUACACUGCGAAGAAGAAGAUGUCUUCUAGAGUAUGAGUGCACAGAUGUCAUCCAUUACAAACUGGUCAAGAACAACCAGACGGGGCUCCCUGGGGACUGCGUGGACAAAUGUCUUGCAGGGUACCUCGAGUCCGCGGACGGACGUACCUGUAACAAGUGUGCAGACAAGUGUCCAAAAAGUUGCAAUGGAAAGAAGCUUGAAACUGCUGCCCAGUCACAAGACAUGUUUGGCUGUACCAUCAUUGUCAAUCAUCUGGAAAUCAGAAUUACUAGAGGAAGCAAUGUGGCCCAGGAGUUAGAAAGAAACCUUGGUCAGAUUGAGGAAGUUCAAGGAUAUAUCUGGAUUCAUCACUCCAACACUCUCCUAUCUCUGGGCUUCUUCAAAAAUCUGCGCAAAAUCCACGGCAAAAACAGCAACUCAAAUAAUUUCUCUCUACUUGUCCAUGACAACAUGAACCUACAGGAACUGUUCCCAGAAAACGUCCAGAACAACCUGGAAAUUUUGAAUGGCAACAUGUUCUUCCACUACAAUCGCAAACUCUGUUACAACAAGAUCAAAAGUUUUGAGAGCAAGGUUAAGAUGGAUAACAAGAGCAAGAAUGAUAUUUCUGAUAGUUCAAAUGGAGACCAAAUGCCAUGUAAGAAAUUACCUCAUUCAUUUGCUCUGCAAAAAAAGUAUGGAUUCCAUAAACUCUGAAGAAUUUGAUGUUCAAAUAAUUUGCUGAUAAGUUUAUAGUAAUUGUGGGUGUUUGGACUAGGGUCAAUGAAGAUGCACAGUACUAUAUUUCUUUGUCAGGUGCUACAACUACCUAUAGAUAGUUCUUUUUUUUUUAAAUGACUAAAAUUUCCCAAAGAUUUUAAAUUAAUGUGAAUGUAUCAAACAACUGAAUCUGAAGUAUAUUGUUUGUAUUGGCACUUGAUGAAAAUAAAUUUGAUCAAAAGUAUC